rnacentral:tRNA from 1 species
GGGUCGGUAGCUCAGCCAGGAAGAGCAUCGGGCUUUUAACCCGAGGGUCAGGUUUUCCCCCAGGCGGGUUCAAUUCCCGUCCGACCCG